AACAGAUUUACUUCGGUAAUGACGUUAGGAAAGCGAGCGGCGGAUGGGUGAGUAACACGUGGGGAACCUGCCCCAUAGUCUGGGAUACCACUUGGAAACAGGUGCUAAUACCGGAUAAGAAAGCAGAUCGCAUGAUCAGCUUUUAAAAGGCGGCGUAAGCUGUCGCUAUGGGAUGGCCCCGCGGUGCAUUAGCUAGUUGGUAAGGUAAAGGCUUACCAAGGCGAUGAUGCAUAGCCGAGUUGAGAGACUGAUCGGCCACAUUGGGACUGAGACACGGCCCAAACUCCUACGGGAGGCAGCAGUAGGGAAUCUUCCACAAUGGACGCAAGUCUGAUGGAGCAACGCCGCGUGAGUGAAGAAGGGUUUCGGAUCGUAAAGCUCUGUUGUUGGUGAA
rnacentral:rRNA from 1 species